AACAUACUUUGUGAAGGUAGCCGGAAUACCACAUAACAGCAACAAGACAGAAAAAUACAAACUUCCAGGACAAUCCUGAAGAAUUUGGGGUAUUAUGCUAUUGCUGAACUGGUAUGAAAAUUUCUAAGCUAUGCCUGUGUUGGAGAGAAAUAUCACAAGAAUGCUAUCAGGAGCCACAGGAGCCAAAGCUAGUGUCAGGCUUCAAGGCAGAAAUUGAACAAUGAUUGAUGUAACUUCUACUGAGAUUGGCUCAUCCUCUGGACACAUCAUGGGCUCAGCCAUGUUUGUUCUCGAUAUGUCCUGUUGGCUCAAGCAGGGAGAUGAUCACGUCUGUUCAUGUAUUGUUCAUCCAGAAUAAAGCAUCUUUCAACUCUCAUCAGAGAAGCUUCUUUUUGCAGAAGAUGGAGACUAAUAGAGGAACUCACAACCAGUCAACAUGCAGAGAUCAAGAGAUUGUAGUGUGCUAAGCUCUGAAUGGGACACCUGUAUCACAAUUCCUUUCCUCCAAGACUCAGGGAUCAUAAUGAAAAGUGGGGGGAUUGUAAGAGCCAAAGGGAGUAGAUGUAUGCAGAGAAACAGUAUUUGACAGACAUGACAGUAUAGUUGCAGGCGUGGAUUCACAGUGUUUGGGACUGCAUGCACAAGACUUGCACAAGAUCAAGUCAUCCAAAAUCCAAGCAUGAAUCAGGGAGGGGCUUAUGAAGUUCCACCCUUAUCUGAGGGACUAUUGGCA